GGGCCCGUAAUGGUUUCGACGGGGGUUUUGCGAUACGAUAAGCGUGGCGGGCCGGAUAAUCCCGAUAAACUGUCCAACUUUAAAAAAUAAACGACAACAAUCAAGUUGCUCUGGCUGCCUAAUUAGGCAGUGCUGCAAGACUGCGGUCUUGCCCGUUGCUCUCGGAGUACCGCGCCCGAGACCCCAACGUCAUGAAGCGGUGACCGUGCAUCGGUGUUUCGCCAUUGAACCGAUCAUGCACAAAAUGGCUACCCUGACGCGGAGUCUGUCUGCUGACGCUGCCGAGGGGGAAUUCUAAAUAACAGACUGCCCACGGAGAAGGUCGUAUCAACGGGCUUUCGGACAGGGGUUCAAUUCCCCUCGGGUCCACCA
rnacentral:tmRNA from 1 species